AAGGCCUGUAGGGCAAUACCCACGAGCCCAUAAAGGAGCUCGGUCCCAAAGCCUUUCGUCCCUUGCUCUCUACUUGUUAUUUGAGCUCUCUGCCGACUUAAGACUCUGUCCAGCCUCCUGGCCACACCUGGAUACCCCCAAAUUCUCUGGAAACCGUAAUUGGACACGCAGAAGACUGGAAACUGCAGAUGUGCAGCAUAUAUUUCAUAUGCUGUGGAGGACUUGGGCUUCUUUGAGAAACAAUGGCAAAGUUCUGAGGAACUACAAUGAAGAGAUGGAGACAUGGAGUGAAGAGAGGAGCAUUAGGGGCCACACAGCAGUGGGGAUGCUUCAGCUGUUUAUGCAGGUGCCAUGUUGACAUCAGAGUGUGUUAUGUGGGGUGCUUACCACAUGGCCUCACCUACAACAGGACCAACGUGGGGAGGAUUUCCUCAAGCCUUCCACACAAGCUGCUAUACUUCAAGGAGCCUUCUGUGAUUCACAGACUUCUGUAAGUGGCCUCUGCUCUGGGUGGUGAGGAGCCAGUGAACUGCCUGCCCCACGUUCAUCCCACUUCCUGAGUGAUCAGAAGUGCUGAACAGACUGCUGAGCCAGGAGAUUUUCAUCUUCAUCUCUGACUCGCCUAUGUAGCACCAAACUCAUCUCUACAAUGGGCUACAAACUACUCUUCCAGUUUUCAUACCAGGAAGUAUCAUCACCAUAGUCAUAAUCCCAGGAAUAAGGUCACCAAGUAAACUGGUCUUCACUAUGUCAUCCAUGCUUGCCUUGAACUCAUGGCAAUCCUCAUGCCUCAGGCUCCCAAAUGAUGGGAUUAUAGGUUGGCAGGUUUGAGGCCUGUGUCCUUUAGAAAUCCCACUGCAGAGCUCGGAGGUUUAAUACAGCCAGAGAGGUAAUAAACAGCACGGAGGUCACUGGGAGCUUCCAUGAAGUGAAAAUGUUUUGUUUUAUGAAAAACCCAAAAUGCAGGAAAAAUUGAGCCUACAAAAUGAUGAUGUGAAGACUGCAGAGAGCACAUCAGAAAAUUCUGAAUUCCCUCAGAACUUUUCAGAAAACUUGAAUUGCCUUUGACAACAGAUCUGCCCUCUUCCAGAUUUAAAUGCCUCCAAGUGGUAAAUGGGACUUGAGUUUGUCUUGGGGGCUUGGGGAUAGUCGUGGGUUUAGGGAGGCUGCUGUGCCCUGUGAUUAUAUACCACUUUCCCUGGAUUUAGGGAGAUGUGAGCAUGUCCCAUUUAUCUCGAUACCACAGGGUGUAAUCCUAAAUGUCAGCACCAAAUAAGAUUACAGAGCACUAAGUAUCAUUUUUAAUUUUCUUAUUCAAAAGCAGAACUAGAUUGUGCUUGCUUUUUGUUUUGAUCCCACCUAGCAACAGACUUGGCAAAUAGUCGGCUGUCACAAGUCUUGACUGAAAAGUGGAAUGAAGUUCAUGAAUGAAAUAAAUCUGGGCAAUGCUCACCUUCUAAUUGUGAGAUCUUUAAAAGGCAGAAAACUUCUAUAUGUUCAAGAUCUGUUCAGUGCUCAUGGCAUAAAAUAAGAACAUUAUGGAAAAAUGCAUGGAAAUUGGAUACAUUUUCUCAACAAGACCUUUCAGAAUAAAAUUUCAAGUGACUUCAGUUGUUUUAC